GACGAACGCUGGCGGCGUGCUUAACACAUGCCAGUCGAACGGAAAGGCCAUGCUUUUGUGGGGUGCUCGAGUGGCGAACGGGUGAGUAACACGUGAGUGACAUGCACUUGACUUUGGGAUAACUUCAGGAAACUGGGGCUAAUACCCGAUAGGAGCUCCAGCUGCAUGGUGGGGGUAGGAAAGUUUCGGCGGUUGGGGCUGGACUCGCGGCUUAUCAGCCUGUUGGUGGAGUAGUGGCUUACCAAGGCUUUGACGGGUAGCCGGCCUGGGAGGGUGACCGGCCACAUGGCGACUGAGAGACGGCCCAGAAGCCUACGGGAGGCAGCAGUGGGGAAUAUGGCACAAUGGGGGGAAGCCUGAUGCAGCAACGCUGCGUGCGUGAUGACGGCCUUCGGGUUGUAAACCGAUUUCGCCGGUGACGAAGAGGGAGUGACGGUAAUGGGUAAAGAAGCACCGGCUAACUACGUG
rnacentral:rRNA from 1 species